GGAAGUAAAAGUCGUAACAAGAUCUCCGUUGGUGAACCAGCGGAGGGAUCAUUACCGAGUUAUCAACUCCCAAACCCCUGUGAACAUACCUGAACGUUGCCUCGGCGGGACCGCCCCGGCGCCCAUCUCGCGGCCCGGAACCAGGCGCCCGCCGGAGGACCCAAACUCUUGCUUGGACAGUGGCAUACUCUCUGAGUCUCACAAACAAAAAAUGAAUCAAAACUUUCAACAACGGAUCUCUUGGCUCUG
rnacentral:misc_RNA from 1 species